rnacentral:lncRNA from 1 species
UAACAAUUUAUGAAACAGUUACAGUAUGAAGGACUGUGAGGAGGGAAAAAAGUAACAUGUAUAAAAAGCUUUUUACAUGUUUUUCAUUAACUUGUACUAUAUUUUACCUCUGAUAAAUAGACAAAGUAAAAAUAAAAUUCAAACUCAUGCAUUAUUAAGAACUUUUUUUAAAAGAUUUAUGUGAAGAUAGACUGUUUGGGGCCAAAAAUCCAAACCAAACAAACAACAAAAAAACCCCAUACCUACAGAAUUUCAUUUAUCUAUGAUAACAUUAACCUCCUUGGAUAAUCCAAAAUUAGAUUCAGUUAUAAUCAAGAAUAAAAUAAUAGAUGCAAAAUCGUCUACAAGUAAAU